AUGCCGCGCGGCAAGACGCCGACGGGCCUCAUCGAGAACGAGCGGAGGCGGGGCCUGUCCUUCAAGAACCGGAGGCGGGGGCUGCUGGACAAGGCGGACCAGCUCGCCGUGCUCUGCGGGGUCCCCGUCGCCGUCGUCUGCGCCGACCCCAGGGGCGGCGAGCCCACGGUGGUGGAGUCGGAGGAGGGCGUCCUCGCCAGGUACCGCGCGCUGCCGGCCGUGCGGCGCGUGGGCCACGCGCACCGCGGCUACCUCGAGGGCCUGCUGGUCAAGGAGCGGACCAAGCUGGCCAGGGUGCGCCAGGGCGGGCCCGACGCGCUCGCGGCGCCGCACGCCGAGCUGGGCCGGAUGACGCUGGACGAGCUGCGCGAGCUGCUCGGGGCCGUCGACGCGGCGAUGGCGGCCGCCGCGCAGAGGCGGAGGGCGCUCGGGCUGCAGCCCACGGGCGAUGGCGGCGCGGUCGUCGAGACUGCGCGCGUGGACUCCGGCCCGUGGAUUGCCGGUGGAAGCUCCUCGAGCGAGGACGGCGGCUACCCGAUGCAGCAGCUGCAGCAGCAGCAGGGGCCCGGCGGCGCCGGCCUCCUCGAACUGGCCAUGUGGCACGGCGGCGGCAUGACGAUGCAGCCCGAUGGUUGCAGCUACGGCGCCAUGAACGCGAUGCAGGCCGCGUACAGCAACCCCCGCCACGACGCACCCCUCCUCGACCAGGCGAUGAUGAUGGUUCCACGUGACUACUACCACGACGCCAUGAACACGACGCAGUGGAUGCAGCUGCAGCAGCCUGCGUACAACCAGCAACGCGACGCCAUCGGCACCGGCACCGGCGCGCACGGCAUGGGCGGCUACCAGCUGCCGAUGCCGGGCAACGGCGGCAACUACCACGGACACGGCGGCUUCUUCCCGCGCUACGACGGCGGCAACAGCAGCGGCUACGCGGGCGCCAUGCCCGAUCUGACCAUGUGGUGCCCCGCCGAGCCCUGCAACGCCAGCGCCAUGCCAGGUCCGUCGUUCACCGGCAACAGCAACUUCUCCAACUUACUGCCCGAGUUCCACGGCAUGGGUGGUGCCGGCGGGAGCGGCAUGAACUACUACGCCGACGGCAACGAGACGCAGGGCUCCUCCAACGAGCUCCAUUGCUCCGGCGGCUCAAGCCUCGAGGACCUGCUGUUCGGGGACGACAGCGACGAUUAG
rnacentral:rRNA from 1 species